rnacentral:lncRNA from 1 species
CCCUUGUUUAUGACACCAACCUACAGUGUGGAGGACAGCUUCUAGCUGGCCCCUGGGAAACGCAACUCCAGGAUCUUGACCUUUGCCAAUCAUUGGCUGAUGGUGGCAGAAGCACACCUCCUCCUUUUUUUUAAUGUGAAGAUGUGUGCAGCAAACCACAGAUGGAGGGAGCAGGAAGAAAUGGGGCCGUUUCUAAAGAAAUUAGAUGCCGGAGGAGAAGAAGGUUCUAAGUCCCAUGGAGCUGAAGUUCCAGCUGUUGAGAGCUCCCCAAAGAGGCUGCUAGGAAUGGAACUCCAGUCCUCUGGAAGAACAAGUGCUUUAAACCAUUAAGCAUCUCUCCGACUGCAGGAACUGUUUGAAACCUUUGCAGUGGCCAAGGUAGAUUAUCCAAUUGUUUGUUUGUACGUCAGGCUUUAUUGAACUAUGCCCUGGAAAGGGUGACAUCUGCUGCGUAUAAAUGACAUACUGAUUUUGUUUUUUUCCGUAAGUAUUUUAACGUCUAGUUCUAUGGUCCACGCUGGCCUUGAACUUGCUCUUUCUGCCUCACCUUCCUGAGUGCUAGGGUGCUAGGAUUACAGUGUGUACCAGCAGCUGGUGCCAUUAUUUAUAACAAUCAAAGAGUGCUAGCUUAGCUUGCAGACAUUCCCCAGUCCUACAAAGAUAAAAUAGAGCCACCAAUGGCUCAGUGGGUAAAAGCCUGAGCUUGGUGAUCUAAAGUCCAUUUCCCAUAACCCAAUGGGAGAAGGAGAGGACGGGGUUCCCGGGUCGUCCUCUGAUAUUGAAACAUGAGCCGUGGCAACACACACACACACACUAAGUAAAAUAUAAUUAAAAAUUUAAAAGUUAUAGUAACAGCCGGGCGUGGUGGCACACACCUUUAAUCCCAGCACUUGGGAGGCAGAGGCAGGUGGAUUUCUGAGUUUGAGGCCAGCCUGGUCUACAGAGUGAGUUCCAGGACAGGCAGGGCUACACAGAGAAACCCUGUCUCGAAGGAAGAAAAUAAAAAGUUAUAGUAAAAAAAAAAGACAAACAUCAAACUAUCCAUCAGUUGGUCAAUUGGUUAAAGAAAAUAUUUUAUAACCAUAAGAAGAAAUCACAACAAUCUCGAUAUGUUGACGUUGGCUUUAUCUCUAGAAGGAGCCUUUUAAAAACCUGGGUAUAGUAGCACACGCCUUUAAUCCCAGCAUUGGGAGGCAGAGGCAGAGGCAGGCAGAUCUCUGAGUUUGAGGCCAGCCUGGUCUACAGAGUGAGUUCCAAGACAGCCAGGGCUGCACAGAGAAACCCUGUCCUGGAGGGGUGGGGGUUCGGGGGGGACUUACUUGAAAUCCAUAUGGUGGCAUUUGGCAGGAGGACCAAGUUCAAGGUCAUCCUUGGCUACAUAGUGAGUUUGAGGCCAGCUGAGACCCUGUCUCAAAACAAACCAAACAAAACCGAAACGGCGUGGGACAGUGUGUCUAGGGGGAGAAUAAAAUAUACAACCUCAAAUAUAUUCCUCUGGAUAUUCAGAGAAACCAUGCUUAGCAGUCAUAGAAAGAUUUCUGAAAAACUAACCUUUUAUAAGAGAAAUUCGUACCUGUUAUGCAUCAGUAGCCAGUGCAGGUACAGGCUUGCCCCUCUUUCUUCCCAGGGAAGAGGACACUCGAUCUAGACAGAUGACCACAGGUGACUGACUGUCCCUGGGAGAGUUCAUCUACCUGUAUAGCAGCCACUGUUUAAUGUCACCUCCAGCCCCUAACCUUCUGUACUGGCUAGUUUUGUGUCAACUUGACAUAGCUGGAGCUAUCACAGAGAAAGGAGCUUCAGGUGAGGAAAUGCCUCCAUGAGAUCCAACUGUAAGGCAUUUUCUCAAUUAGUGAUCAAGGGACAAAGGCCCCUUGUGGGUGGGACCAUCUCUGGUCUGGUAGUCUUGGUUCUAUAAGAGAGCAGGCUGAGCAACCCAGGGGAAGCAAGCCAGUAAAGAACAUCCUUCCAUGGCCUCUGCAUCAGCUCCUGCUUUCUGACCUGUUUGAGUUCCAGUCCUGACUUCCUUGGUGAUGAACAGCAGUAUGGAAGUGUAAGCCAAAUAAACCCUUUCCUCCCCAA